UCGAUGCCUUACAAGCUGUGCGACCCGUGCAUUUGUUAUACUACUCAGGGGCGGCUCAGGGUGUUUGACGCCUCGAACCCCCUUAGCCAGGAGGCGCCCCACCUCGUGUGGUUUCCUUCUGGCCAAACAACAAACCCCGGCGCCAAAUGCGCCAAGGAACUCCAAAUUGUUUAGUGCGCUCCCGUCGACCCGGACACGGUGCUCGUGCGGUGGGCGAUGCGACAUACGUUAUCAAA
rnacentral:rRNA from 1 species